rnacentral:rRNA from 1 species
UACAGAGGGUGCGAGCGUUAAUCGGAAUUACUGGGCGUAAAGCGCACGUAGGCGGCUUGGUAUGUCGGGUGUGAAAUCCCCGGGCUCAACCUGGGAACUGCAUCCGAAACUGCCUUGCUCGAGUAUGGGAGAGGGAAGUGGAAUUUCCGGUGUAGCGGUGAAAUGCGUAGAUAUCGUAAGGAACAUCAGUGGCGAAGGCGACUUCCUGGACCAAUACUGACGCUCAGGUGCGAAAGCGUGGGGAGCAAACAGG